rnacentral:rRNA from 1 species
CCUACGGGUGGCAGCAGUGGGGAAUAUUGCACAAUGGGGGAAACCCUGAUGCAGCGACGCCGCGUGAGUGAAGAAGUAUCUCGGUACGUAAAGCUCUAUCAGCAGGGAAGAAAAUGACGGUACCUGACUAAGAAGCCCCGGCUAACUACGUGCCAGCAGCCGCGGUACUACGUAGGGGGCGAGCGUUAUCCGGAUUCACUGGGUGUAAAGGGAGCGUAGCCGGCCAUGCAAGCCAGGGGUGAAAGCCCGGGGGCCAACCCCGGGACUGCCCUUGGAACUGCAUGGCGGGAGUGCGGGAGGGGCAGGCGGAAUUCCUGGUGUAGCGGUGAAAUGCGUAGAUAUCAGGAGGAACACCGGCGGCGAAGGCGGCCUGCUGAACCGCGACUGACGUUGAGGCUCGAAAGCGUGGGGAGCGAACAGGAUUAGAUACCCGAGUAGUC